GUUACGGUUAACAUCGUGUUUAACCGUGGUAUUAUCUAAUUAACACGUCCGUCGUAUUGUUCAUGUAAGUAAUCAUACCAAACGGUCACCAGAUUUCGCCAGAAAUUAUAAAUACAAAACUUGUCAUGUUUGGAACAAUAUUAUGGUGUGCUAUUAUUAUUACGUGAUCCAGAAUAAUUUAAUUCCUUAAUUGAAUAAUUAAAUUGUUCUAUCCAAUGCCAAAUCCCUCGCAAGUUUUAUUUUUUUUACAUACCUAAUUUUAUAUUCUUAAUUGUAUCUUUCUAUAUUAAUGCAACAGCAAAAGCAAAAAAGAUUUGAUACCGGGGAAGUUGGGAUAUAGAAGGA